rnacentral:rRNA from 1 species
UGAGGAACAUGACUUUCGGCGGGGGAUAGCCGGGCCCAACGGCCGGGUAAUACCGCGUACGACCACUUGGGGACAUCCCCGAAUGGUGAAAGCUGCAAUGCGCCGAAAGAGUGCCUCGCGGCCUAUCAGCUAGUUGGUGUGGUAACGGCUCACCAAGGCGACGACGGGUAGCUGGUCUGAGAGGAUGAUCAGCCACACUGGGACUGAGACACGGCCCAGACCUCCGUACGGGGAGCAG